AACGCGAAGAACCUUACCUGGCCUUGACAUGCAUCUCUAAGUUGGUGAAAGCCAGCGAGUCUCGAAAGAGACAAUUUGCACAGGUGCUGCAUGGCUGUCGUCAGCUCGUGUCGUGAGAUGUUGGGUUAAGUCCAGCAACGAGCGCAACCCCUGGGUUUAGUUGCCAGCACGUAAUGGUGGGAACUCUAGACCAACUGCCUACGCAAGUAGUGAGGAAGGUGGGGACGACGUCAAGUCAUCAUGGCCCUUACGCCUAGGGCAACACACGUGCUACAAUGGCGACUACAACGCGCUGCAAUACCGCGAGGUGGAGCGAAUCGCUAAAAAGUCGUCUCAGUUCGAAUCGGAGUCUGCAACUCGACUCCGUGAAGUUGGAAUUGCUAGUAAUCGGGGGUCAGCACACCCCGGUGAAUACGUUCCCGGGCCUUGUACACACCGAGUAUA
rnacentral:rRNA from 1 species